CUGCAGAAACCCUCUUCUCUCUCAACACCACCGAACGAACUAGCAGAAACUCCACCAUGAAUUCAUCGGAUACCUAAUAGAAAUUCGAUCUACCUUCUGCGUAUUUGGAUUUUGUGUAAUUAGGGUUUAAUUUACAAACAAAAUUAGGUUAAUCUCUCAAUUCAGAGUUUCUAGAGUUUGAUUUUACAAACAAAAUCAGACAAAUAUGGCAAGACAUCCUAUUGGUGGUAGCAGCAGCCGAUUCAGGUCUGGAAGUACUAGGUCUGCUAGUACUAGAUCGCCUACUACUACUCCUAGCGCUAAUGAAGUGAACUGGCCAAGGGGGUUGCUCAAUUCACAAGGCUCUCCAUUAACUGAUGGUGCACACACAGCUGGACAUCCAAGUGUAGGGAGUCAACGUGUGUCUUCGUCAGAUGGUGACAAUUCUCUAAGCCAAGGUACUGGGAA